AGCGAACGCUGGCGGCAGGCUUAACACAUGCAAGUCGAGCGGGCAUCUUCGGAUGUCAGCGGCAGACGGGUGAGUAACACGUGGGAACGUACCCUUCGGUUCGGAACAACUCUGGGAAACUGGAGCUAAUACCGGAUACGCCCUUAUGGGGAAAGGUUUACUGCCGAAGGAUCGGCCCGCGUCUGAUUAGCUAGUUGGUGGGGUAACGGCCUACCAAGGCGACGAUCAGUAGCUGGUCUGAGAGGAUGAUCAGCCACACUGGGACUGAGACACGGCCCAGACUCCUACGGGAGGCAGCAGUGGGGAAUAUUGGACAAUGGGCGCAAGCCUGAUCCAGCCAUGCCGCGUGAGUGAUGAAGGCCUUAGGGUUGUAAAGCUCUUUUGUCCGGGACGAUAAUGACGGUACCGGAAGAAUAAGCCCCGGCUAACUGCGU
rnacentral:rRNA from 1 species